CUCCCUCCAACCAUUGGGCUUAGAGAUGGCAUAGCUCUUUGAAUUAUGUAUAAUGUUUCAGCACGACUUGACCUUAUAAGCAUGAAAUCGUUCUUCAUGGAUGGACAAACAUUAGCAUUUUUCUCUAAGUAUGAGCAAAAACACCAAGUCGCCAACACUGCACACACAAUGAAGGUUUCGCCACCAUUGGAAAGCUACAAUGCUAGUUUAACCGAAGUAGUGAGGUACUUUACUGGUACUCUGGAGUAUGCCUAAACAGAUCGACAUGAGUCUGCAAAACCUAUGCAGCUUCGAUAAGAGAAGCAGCGCAGGUGUGCCCGGCACAGUCAAUCACCAACAGUUCGAUACCGACAAUUCUCCAAAACUACAUGAAAUGAUGAACUAUGUGCCAAAAGUGUCCGUCGUGCCAGCCACCGACACGGCGACAGCUCAGCUACGCUACCAAGGCAGCGCCAUCUACAACCCUAGAACAAAACAAUCAAGGCACACAAGCACAUCACUGGCAGAGAUCCCGCGGCAAGCUCACCUGCUGAGCCCUCCGUGGCGCCGU
rnacentral:misc_RNA from 1 species